rnacentral:piRNA from 1 species
UGGUGGCUCAACCAUCUGCAGUGGGAUCC